AUACGGAGGGUGCAAGCGUUACUCGGAAUCACUGGGCGUAAAGCGCGCGCAGGCGGCCUGAUAAGUUGGAUGUGAAAGCCUACGGCUCAACCGUAGAACUGCAUCCAAAACUGUCAAGCUAGAGUCCGUGAGGGGAAGAUGGAAUUAGUUGUGUAGGGGUAAAAUCCGUAGAGAUAACUAGGAAUACCAAAAGCGAAGGCGAUCUUCUGGAACAGUACUGACGCUGAGGCGCGAAAGCGUGGGGAGCAAACAGGAUUAGAAACCCCGGUAGUCC
rnacentral:rRNA from 1 species